CCUACGGGGGACAGCAGUGAGGAAUAUUGGUCAAUGGGCGAGAGCCUGAACCAGCCAAGUCGCGUGAAGGAUGACGGCCCUACGGGUUGUAAACUUCUUUUGUCAGGGAGCAAGUGGGUCCACGCGUGGGCGUAGCGAGAGUACCUGAAGAAAAAGCAGCGGCUAACUCCGUGCCAGCAGCCGCGGUAAUACGGAGGAUGCGAGCGUUAGCCGGAUUGAUGGGGUUGAAAGGGUGCGUAGGCGGAAUAUCAAGUCAGCGGUAAAAAUUCGGGGCUCAACCCCGUCGUGCCGUUGAAACGGCUGUUCUUGAGUGUGCGAGAAGUAUGCGGACUGCGUGGUGUAGCGG
rnacentral:rRNA from 1 species